GUUCCUCCCUCUCCUCAGUGAUUUACUGUCUUCUGUAUUUACUUUUUCGCUAAAUAGAAUUUAUUAAGGGGUGCGAGAAAACCUAUGAAUGCAGCUGAAAUUUAACCGUCCGCACAGGUCGUAAAUAGAAACGGUUGUUUCUCAUGACAAACGUGGAAUGUCCUAUGUUGUGAAAUAUGCAGCACAUUGCAGCUGCGGGAUACAUCUGAAAACAUCUGAAUCCGAAGCGAAGCACCUCCCCGUCAGCGACGGCCACAGAGGAGAUGGCCGACAGUCUGGAUCAAGCACCUUAUCCAUUCUGGCCUGGUAACGAGGCCACAAAUCAAGCUGCCUGCUGCGCUCGUUCAUAAUGCCCUGAGAUUUCGCAGUUACGAGGUUUGUGCAUGUGUGCUUCUACCAAGGCUACUGAACUGAAAGGAAACUACAGGUGUACGCCGAUCAUUUGAUAUGGCUGCAUAUCUGCUCUUUGUCAUUGCACGACAAACCGAUAAAUAAUUCAAAGGGGUACUUCUGCCCAGAUUGUUGCGGUUCCCUAUCUUCCACCCCUUCAGGCUUUCAACAGGAAGGACACAAGAGUACAAGAGAUUACAGCUGCAGCUGACUAAUGGAGAAGACAGUUUCUUUUUCCCACCUAACAAGGUGUUCAUAAUAUAACACAGUAAACAAAGAACUUGGCGUAUUUGCCUAGCAACCUGACACGACCAAUUGUUACAAUAUUGACGGACGCCAUCCUGACCAAUCAGAGUAAUAGAACUUAGUUUACAGAUGCAUAUACAAAUACUCCCCCUAAAGUAUGUCAUAAUUUGAGAUGAUUCGCACCCUGAGCAGAGCUAUGCAGUAAAACUGUGUGGUUCCUGCCUGCUCCCGAGCUCGUAAUAAAAUUUCCCGAGAACAGCGUUCCUGACUUUGCCUGGUGUUUU